rnacentral:tRNA from 1 species
GCGAGCGUAGCCGAGUGGUCAAGGCGCCUGUCUGUGGCACAGGAGAUCACGGGUUCGAACCCCGUCGCUCGCCCCA